UUUUCCUCAUUCCUAACCAGCUGGUAUUGGGGAUAAUCAGUAUAUUUCAAGUUGAUAUGAAAGUUGAUACAAAGAACAUUAAAUCUGAAUUCCAGGAAGAAUCUGAUAUGGGAUCCUUAUUUCUGGUCCAGUCCCAAAUCAUACAAUGACCUCACAUUUUUCAGGUAGCACCCAGACAUUCUCCUGUAUUUACCUCUUCAGAUGACAGUCCCUGCUAGAGAUAGCUUUCCCCUUGUUCUUCACAGAGAUCACCGCAGAAAAUGACCUUAAACUCACCUUGAUGACGGCUUCUUCUCAUGUAACCCCCUUAUGAUAAAGUGGACAAGGGAAAGGAUUUCACAGUCACUAAAGUUAGUGCUUUCUUGUUUGAGAAAUUUCUCUGUCUUGGGAGUUAAGGAAGAUUGGCUUCCCUUAAAGGGCAAGUCCAGGAUAAAGGAAGAAUUCCUAAUUCAGUGAAAGACCCUUUGUGAUUAUGAGUUAUUAUAGUUAGAUCUGCUUAUAUAUGGUGGUGCAGGGUUAGAAGUCAUCUUUAGAGACCUGGAGAGGGGAAAUGGGGGAGAAAAGGUUUACUCAAACCCUAUACUUUAUUUAUUUAUGAGAGAAAAUCUGCAAGAAAGGAAACAUAAAUAAUCCUGGUCCAGUCAAACUACUCUGUCUUGCUGUUGUAAGGAGAAGUAACAGAAAUGAACAAACCUGCUGGCUGCUGGCAGAGGAAUGGUGGUCACAGGAACCUGCCAAGAUGAGAUGAUGCUGACUGAAUGGCAUCAGUUUGCAGAUCCCCAUGCCCAAGAUGGGGCUUCCCUGGUGGCUCAGCUGACAGCACUGCUCAUGUCUUCAGCUGUUCAGUCGGUCACUCACGUCUGACCCUCUGCAACUCGAUGGACCGCAACAUGCCAG